rnacentral:rRNA from 1 species
UACGGGGGGAGCAAGCGUUGUUCGGAUUUACUGGGCGUAAAGGGCGCGUAGGCGGCCAGCGCAAGUCAGUUGUGAAAUCUCCGGGCUUAACUCGGAACGGUCAACUGAUACUGCGCGGCUAGAGUGCGGAAGGGGCAACUGGAAUUCUCGGUGUAGCGGUGAAAUGCGUAGAUAUCGAGAGGAACACCUGCGGCGAAGGCGGGUUGCUGGGCCAGUUCUGACGCUGAGGAGCGAAAGCGUGGGGAGCGAACAGG